rnacentral:rRNA from 1 species
UACAGGGGGCUCGAGCGUUAGUCGGAAUCACUGGGCUUAAAGGGUGCGUAGGCGGCCCGCCAAGUGCUUUGUGAAAUCCCACAGCUCAACUGUGGAACAGCAGGGCAAACUGGCGGGCUUGAGGCAGGUAGGGGCUGGAAGAACAGUUGGUGGAGCGGUGAAAUGCGUAGAUAUCAACUGGAAUGCCGAUGGGGAAGCCGUCCAGCUGGGCCUGUCCUGACGCUGAGGCACGAAAGCGUGGGGAGCAAAC